rnacentral:rRNA from 1 species
AAAUUGAAGAGUUUGAUCAUGGCUCAGAUUGAACGCUGGCGGCAGGCCUAACACAUGCAAGUCGAACGGUAACAGGAAGCAGCUUGCUGCUUCGCUGACGAGUGGCGGACGGGUGAGUAAUGUCUGGGAAACUGCCUGAUGGAGGGGGAUAACUACUGGAAACGGUAGCUAAUACCGCAUAACGUCGCAAGACCAAAGGGGGGGGACCUUCGGGCCUCUUGCCAUCGGAUGUGCCCAGAUGGGAUUAGCUUGUUGGUGGGGUAACGGCUCACCAAGGCGACGAUCCCUAGCUGGUCUGAGAGGAUGACCAGCCACACUGGAACUGAGACACGGUCCAGACUCCUACGGGAGGCAGCAGUGGGGAAUAUUGCACAAUGGGCGCAAGCCUGAUGCAGCCAUGCCACGUGUAUGAAGAAGGCCUUCGGGUUGUAAAGUACUUUCAGCGGGGAGGAAGGGAGUAAAGUUAAUACCUUU